rnacentral:rRNA from 1 species
GACGAACGCUGGCGGUGUGCCUAAUACCUGCAAGUAGGACGCAGUUGCGAACGGGUGAGUAACGCGUAGGUAACUGCCCAUUAGAGGGGGAUAAUUAUUGGAAACGAUAGCUAAUACCGCAUUAUAGUAGAUGGACCUGCGUUGUAUUAUCUAGUAGGUAGGGUUAUGGCCUACCUAGGCGACGAUACAUAGCCGACCUGAGAGGGUGAUCGGCCACACUGUAACUGAGACACGGCCCAGACUCCUACGGGAGGCAGCAGUAGGGACGAUUCGGCAAUGGGGGGAACCCUGACCGAGCAACGCCGCGUGAGUGAAGAAGGUUGUCGGAUCGUAAAGCUCUGUUGUUAAGGAAGCGGUACUUAACCAGAAAGGGACGGCUAACUACGUGCCAGCCGCCGCGGUAAUUCC